rnacentral:rRNA from 1 species
CACGUAGGGCGCAAGCGUUGUCCGGAAUUAUUGGGCGUAAAGAGCUCGUAGGUGGUCUGUUGCGUCCGCUGUGAAAACUCGGGGCUUAACCCCGAGCCUGCAGUGGAUACGGGCAGACUAGAGGUAGGUAGGGGAGAAUGGAAUUCCUGGUGUAGCGGUGAAAUGCGCAGAUAUCAGGAGGAACACCGGUGGCGAAGGCGGUUCUCUGGGCCUUACCUGACACUGAGGAGCGAAAGCGUGGGGAGCGAACAGG